UACGAAGGGUGCAAACGUUGCUCGGAAUCAUUGGGCGUAAAGCGCACGUAGGCGGCUUCGCAAGUCGGAUGUGAAAUCCCACGGCUCAACCAUGGACGUGCAUUCGAAACUGCGAAGCUUGAGUAUGGAAGAGGGUCGCGGAAUUCCCGGUGUAGAGGUGAAAUUCGUAGAUAUUCGGAAGAACACCAGUGGCGAAGGCGACUCACUGGACAUGUAUUGACGCUGAGGUGCGAAAGCGUGGGGAGCAAACAGG
rnacentral:rRNA from 1 species